rnacentral:rRNA from 1 species
UACAGAGGGGGCAAGCGUUAAUCGGAAUUACUGGGCGUAAAGGGCGCGUAGGCGGAUAAUCAAGCUGGAUGUGAAAGACCUGGGCUUAACCUGGGGGUGUCAUUCAUAACUGGUUAUCUGGAGUAUGGGAGAGGAGAGUGGAAUUCACAGUGUAGCGGUGAAAUGCGUAGAUAUUAGGAGGAACACCAGUGGCGAAGGCGACUUACUGGACUGUAACUGACGCUGAGUCACGAAAGCGUGGGUAGCAAAC